rnacentral:sRNA from 1 species
UUGUAAAUAUUGAGCUACCCGCCAGCCU